rnacentral:rRNA from 1 species
UGAUGGCGAGUGGCGAACGGGUGAGUAAUGCAUCGGAACGUACCCGGAAGUGGGGGAUAACGUAGCGAAAGUUACGCUAAUACCGCAUAUUCUGUGAGCAGGAAAGCGGGGGAUCGCAAGACCUCGCGCUUCCGGAGCGGCCGAUGUCGGAUUAGCUAGUUGGCGGGGUAAAGGCCCACCAAGGCAACGAUCCGUAGCGGGUCUGAGAGGAUGAUCCGCCACACUGGGACUGAGACACGGCCCAGACUCCUACGGGAGGCAGCAGUGGGGAAUUUUGGACAAUGGGGGCAACCCUGAUCCAGCCAUGCCGCGUGAGUGAAGAAGGCCUUCGGGUUGUAAAGCUCUUUCGGCUGGGAAGAAAUCGCA